GACGAACGCUGGCGGCGUGCUUAACACAUGCAAGUCGAACGGACAGACAGAGAGCUUGCUCUCUUGAAGUUAGUGGCGAACGGGUGAGUAACGCGUAAUCAACCUGCCCUUCAGAGGGGGAUAACAACGGGAAACCGUUGCUAAUACCGCGUACGAUUCAUAGGCGGCAUCGCUUGUGAAUGAAAGGUGGCCUCUAUAUAUAAGCUAUCGCUGAAGGAGGGGAUUGCGUCUGAUUAGCUAGUUGGAGGGGUAACGGCCCACCAAGGCAAUGAUCAGUAGCCGGUCUGAGAGGAUGAACGGCCACAUUGGGACUGAGACACGGCCCAAACUCCUACGGGAGGCAGCAGUGGGGAAUCUUCCGCAAUGGACGAAAGUCUGACGGAGCAACGCCGCGUGAGUGAUGAAGGUCUUCGGAUUGUAAAGCUCUGUUAAUCGGGACGAAAGAGUUCUGUGUGAAUAAUGCAAAAAAGUGACGGUACCGGAAUAGAAAGCCACGGCUAACUACGUGC
rnacentral:rRNA from 1 species